ensembl:lncRNA
AUUGAGUACUUUUUCCACCACUGUAUUUAACUAUUGAAGGUGUAAUGUUGGGUAAUAAUUUACUUGAAUUGUACAUCAUAACAGAGACAUGACAUUGUCAUGAACAUGUCAUCUGAUGUUGAAUGUCAAUUUUGUCUGCAGGUUUGUGCCAUACAUCGGAAUCGUUACCAUUCUGAUGAAUGACUAUCCCAAAUUUAAGUACGCUGUUCUCUUCCUGCUGGGUCUGUUUGUCCUGGUCCAUCGGGAGUGAGGAAGAGAAUACCUAACUAUCUACCACGGAGGAAGAAUUGUAAAUCCCCACCCCACCAUGCCUUUCAAGACAGAAUUAUGUUGAUUAUGUCAAAUUAAGUUGCUUUUUCUCUACCAUGUGUUUUGAAUUGUGUCUAGAAAUGUGGAUAGUGUUUACAUUAUAUAAAAACAAGCAUUCAUUAUUUUUGUGAGGGAAAUUAGAUAUAAGUUAAGUAGAACAUGAAUCCAACAUUUUAGAUGGUUAAUUGUGUAUUUUGUUUUCACAUUUAAUUAGGUUUUGCUUUGCUUGAUAUAUUGAAUGACAAGUGAUAUGUUUGUGACAUUAAAUAUGACAUCUGUUACCCUCUAUCCUGCAAUCUGGUAACUUAUGCAUCUAGUGUUUUUUUCUUAUAAUCAAGCAUAACUUCACUAAAACACAUUUGUGCAUUUUCAAGAUGCCAUUAUUUUACAUGCAGGCUAAAUAUGACAUUUACAUUUGAGUCAUUUAGCAGACUCUUAUCCAGAGCGACUUACAGUCAGGGAGUGUGCAAUUGGCAUGCUGACUGCAGGAAUGUACACCAGAGCUGUUGCCAGAUAAUUGAAUGUUAAUAUCUCUACCACAAGUCUCCUCCAACGUUGUUGAAGAGAAUCUUCAACCGGCCUCACAACCACAUACCAAGUGUAUGGCGUUGUGUGGGCGAGCGGUUAGCUGAUGUCAACGUGAACAGAGUGCCCCAUGGUGGUUAUGGGCAGACAUAAGCUACAGACAAAAACAAUUUUAUAGAUGGCAAUUUGAAUGCACAGAGAUACUGUGACGAGAUCCUGAGGCCUAUUGUGCAAUUAAUCCGCCACCGUGACCUCAUGUUUCAGCAUGAUCAUGCAUGGCCCCAUGUAGCAAGGUUCUGUACACAAUUCCUGGAAGCUGAAAAUGUCCCAGUUCUUCUAUGGCCUGCGUACUCACCAGACAGGUCACCCGUUGAGCAUGUUUAGGAUGCUCUGGAUCGACAUGUACGACAGUGUGUUCUAAUUCCCGCCAAUAUCCAGUAACUUUGCACAGCCAUUGAAUCGGAGUGGGACAACAUUCCACAGGCCACAAUCAACUUUCUGAUCAGCUCUUUGUGAAGGCGAUGUGUCACGCUGCAUGAGGCAAACGGUGAUCAUACCAGAUAUUGGUUUUCUGAUCCACGCCCCUACCUUUUUUUUAAGGUAUCUGUGACCAACAGAUGCAGCUUUGUAUUCCCAGUUGUGAAAUCCAUAGAUUAGGGCCUAAUGAAUUUAUUUCAAUUGACUGAUUUCUUUAUAUGAUCUGGAACUUUAUAAUCUUUGAAAUUGUUUCAUGUUGUGUUUAUAUUUUGGUUCAUUAUAUAUGUGCAGUCAAAAGUUUGGACACACCUACUCAUUCAAGAUAUUUUAUUUUCUUGGGUUGAGGUUGUAAAUUGUGGAGGCCAAGUCAUCUGAUGCAGCACUCCAUCACUCUCCUUCUUGGUCAAAUAGCCCUUACACAGCCCGGAGGUGUGUUGGGUCAUUGUCCUGUUGAAAAACAAAUGAUAGUCCCACUAAGCGUAAACCAGAUGGGAUGGCGUAUCGCUGCAGAAUGCUGUGGUAGCCAUGCUAGUUAAGUGUGCCUUGAAUUCUAAAUAAAUCACUGACAGUGUCACCAGCAAACCACCAUCACACCUCCUUCAUGCUUCACGGUGGGAAACAAACAUGCAGAGAUCAUCCAGUCACCUAUUCUGCGUCUCACAAAGACACGGCGGUUAGAACCAAAAAUCUCAGAUUUGAACUCAUCAGACCAAAGGCCAGUUUUCCACCGGUCUAAUGUCCUCUGCUGGUGUUUCUUGGCCCAAGCAAGUCUCUUCUUCUUAAGAGCCAGUUUCAUCAUAGUGCUUGAUGGUUUUUGCGACUGCACUUGAAGAAAGUGUUGUUGAAAUGUUCUAGAUUGACUGACUUUCAUGUCUUAAAAUAAUGAUGUACGGUCAUUUCUCUUUGCUUAUUUGAGCUGUUCUUUCCAUAAUAUGGACUUGGUAUUUUACCAAAUAGGGCUAUCUUCUGUGUACCACCCCUACCUUGUCACAACACAACUGAUUGGCUCAAAUGCAUUAAGAAGGAAAGAAAUUCCACAAUUUAACUUUUAACAAGGCACACCUGUUAAUUGAAAUGGUUUCCAGGUGACUACCUCAUGAAGCUGGUUGAGAGAAUGCCAAGAGUGGGUAAAGCUGUCAUCAAGGCAAAGGGUGGCUACUUUGAGAACCUCAAAUAUAAAAUAUAUUUUGAUUUGUUUAACACUUUUUUGGUUAUUACAUGAUUCCAUAUGUGUCAUUUCAUAGUUUUGAUGUAUUCACUAUUAUUCUACAAUGUAGAAAAUAGUUCAAAUUAAGAAAAACCCUUGAAUGAGUAGGUGUGUCCAAACUUUUGACUGGUACUGUAUAAAUAUAUAUGUAUAUAUAUAUACUUUUUAUUUUUUACAAUAUUCUGAACCGAUGUUUGCCCUUUUGACAUACAGUGCCUUCCGAAAGUUUUCAUACCCAUUGACUUUUUGUUUUUGUUGUUCAUUUUGUUGUGUUACAGCCUGAACACACAAUUGCCCAUAAUGACAAAGAGAAAACAUGUUUUUAAAAAUGUUUGCACAUUUAUUGAAAAUACAAUACAGAAAUGUUUCAUUUACAUAAGUGUUCACACCCCUGAGUCCAUAUAUGUUAGUCACCUUUGGCAGUGAUUACAGCUGUGAGUCUUUCUGGGAAAGUCUCUAAGAGCUUUGCACACUUGGAUUGUACAAUAUUUGCACUUUAUUUUAUUAUUUUUAUUAUUCAAGCUCUGUCUAGUUGUUGUUGAUCAUAGCUAGACAGACAUAUUCAAGUCUUGCCAUAGUUUUUCAAGACGAUUUAAGUAAAAACUGUAACUAGGUCACUCAGGAACAUUCAAUGGCAUCUUGGUAAGAAACUUUAAUUCAAUGGCCUUGUGUUUUACGUUAUUGUCCCGCUGAAAGGUGAAUUUGUCUCCUGGUAUCUGUUGGAAAGCAGAGUGAACCAGGUUUUCCUCUAGGAUUUUGCCUGUGCUUGGCUCCAUCCCAUUUCUUUUUUCUCCUAAACAAACUCCCCAGUCCUUGCCGAUGACAAGCAUACCCAUAACAUGAUGCAGCCACCAGUAUGCUUGAAAAUAUGAAGAGUGGUGCUCAGUGAUGUGUUGUGUUGGAUUUGCCCUUAAAACAUAACACUUUGUAUUCAGGACAUACAAUUAAAUUAUUUGCCACAUUUGCUGUUUUACUUUAGGAUGAAUGUUUUGGGCUAUUUUAUUUAAUUCUGUGCAGACUGCAUUAUUUUCACUCUGUCAUUUAGGUUAAUAUUGUGGAGUAACUACAAUGUUGUUGAUUCGUCCUCAGUUUUCUCCUUUCACAGCCAUUAAACUCUGUAACUGUUUUAAAGUCACCAUUGGCCUUAUGGUGAAAUCGCUGAGUGGUUUCCUCCCUCUCCAGCAACUGAGUUAGGAAGUACGCCUGUAUCUUUGUAGUGACUGGGUGUAUUGAUACACCAUCCAAAGUGCAAUUAAUAACUUGACCAUGCUCAAAGGUAUUUUCAAUGUCUACUUUUGUUAUUUUUACCCAUAUACCAAUAGGUGCCCUUCUUUGCAAGGCAUUGGAAUACCUCCCUUGUCUUUGUGGUUGAAUCUGUGUUUGAAAUUCACUGCUCGACUGAGGGGCCUUACAGAUAAUUAUAUAUGAGGGUACAGAUAUGAGGUAGUCAUUAAAAAAAUCAUGUUAAACACUAUUAUUACGCACAGAGUGAGUCCAUGCAACUUAUUAUGUGACUUGUUAAGCAAAGUUUUACUCCUGAAUUUAUUUAGGCUUGCCAUACAUAACAAAAGGAUUGAAUUAUUAUUGACUCAAGGCAUUUCAGAAUUAAAUGUUUUAUGAAUUUGUAAGAAUGUCUAAAAACAUAAUUCCACUUUGACAUUAUGGGUUAUUGUGUGUAGGCCAGUGAUGCAAAAUCUCAAUUUUGUCCAUUUUAAAUUCAGGCUGUAACACAACAAAGUAUGGUCAAAGGGUGUGAAUACGGUCUGAAGACACUGUAUAUACUCUCAUGGUGGGGAGGAAGAACUAAGAAUAAACAAAGUUACUAUGAAGGAUAAAUAUUUGCCUCUUCAAAUCAAGCUUUUUAAAGCCUUGGGACGCAACCUGACAAAGGGCCUUAUUCAAUAAACACUGUACAGCAUCCAAAUAUUCUUGAGACACGGCCAAACAGUAUUCCUCCCACACCGUUAAAAUUGUUACACAAUAAUAAAAUAAAUACAACCAUAUUUUAUGCAUUAUUUAUUAACAGAUAUUAAGGCAGAUUUUGCUCACAGUCUUCAUUUGAUGGACCCUUUACAGUUUCCCUGAUGGUGUGAGUUAAAAUUCUAAUUAACCGUGGGUGGUCACAGUCUUAAAAUCAUCUUGCAUUUCUGGAGGAUGUUGCUAAUGUGGAGUGAUAGAAGGUUUGAUGGUGGUAGACUGGGAUUUUAAAGCACCGCAGUUACUGCAAUUUGUUUUACUUCACAUUCAGACAAUCUUAAAAGGAUAUGCAGUCUAGAUGUGGUUUGUUUAUACCGUUUGUUACGGAUACAGGUAUCCUGUGUCUGUGUGUAUAUGUAUCCUGUGUUGUUUUCUCUCCUUCUCCCCUCACAGGUGAAAAUCAUCACUCCCCAAUCAGUCAACAAUCAAUCAUCAAUCAGAAGACACACCUCCUCCUAUUUCCUACCCUAUCACAGUUCCUUUCCCUUGGUUUAAAAACCCUGUCAGUUGUUUGCUCUAGAGCUCAAUCUCUCUGUAAAUGCCAUGUCUGUAGGUCUCUGUGUUUCACUCUCUCGUUGUGUAUUAACCUCUCUUUUGUUUGACCACCUCCAUAGCACUUUGUCAUCACCUGUGAGUAUUGUUUUGGUUAUGGUGUUUGUUUGCUGGUGGGAAAAGGGGAAACCAAGACAAGUCGCCCAUGGGCAUACACUACCCGUAGGUAGACUGUUAAAUACACUAGUUAGAACUGGGCGGACCACCCACUGUAUUUUUGGUUAGUUAGUUAGCUAUUGUUAAAGUAGGCUAGUCUAGCUUAGGGGUGUUUUUGAAUACUUAUUGUUUCUUUCCUUGGGUCCAGCUCAGCCCCUUUUCCUGCUCCCCCCAUUACCGUGUGUUUACAAAUAAACCUUGAGUUUGACGGUA